rfam:Pteropus alecto contig12385, whole genome shotgun sequence.
CUGUGGAGUCAGACUGUCUGGGUGUGUAUCUUAGAUCCCGUCUGAUCUCGGAAGCUAAGCAGGGUCGGGCCUGGUUAGUACUUGGAUGGGAGAACACUUAGAAGACCAAGUGCUGUAGGCA